ensembl:snRNA U2 U2 spliceosomal RNA
AGUGAUGUUGAAAAAAAAAGAUCAAGUGUAGCAUCUGUUCUUAUUGGUUUAAUAUCAGAUAUGUUCUCUAUCUGCAGACAAUAUAUUAAAUGGAUUUUUGGAGCAGCAGGGUGGAAUAAGAGUUUGCGCCCUAUACUCCAUGCAUUUACCUGGUAUCACAGUUCAGGAAUGGAGCACCCCCU